AAAAAGAAGUUUGUUGAAAAAUUUUGUUGUGAAUGUAAUUACCAGAUAUCACACCCUACUUUAAAUUUGGAUAUAAAAUUGUUAACUGUAAUGGCUUUUUGCUCAAGGGAAAUCAAACAUGUAUUCCUUCCAUAAUGAGAUCAGAGGUUGUGAGUUAACUAGUUACACUGAUGACUUAGAGUUAUAGAGCUCAAACAGGUUUUUCCAAGGGGAUUGAAAAUAAUUCCAGUUAUCGAGGAUUUCGAGUUAACGAGAGGCCACUGUAUGUGAAAACAAAUAGUGAAUAGAGUUCUUUAUUGCAGAAUUUUCCCCAAGUAUUGAGUUUCCAAUAAAAAAGAAAUGAUACCAUCCA